GCCCAACAUUUUCGGCGUUAUGAGUGGUUAAGUCGUGCGGAAAACUAUAUUUUCAAGCAAUUCUCUAUAUCCAAGAGUCACAUCCACAAAAUAAUACGGCCGAACCAGAACAAUUCUCAGUUUCAAACUGUAACUUUUCAUGAAAAAAACAUUUGCAUACCAAAUAAUAAUAAUAAAACAAAACCCGAAGUAUUGCCGGAUAUUUUUUUUUUUUUUUUUUUUGCUUUUCAGGUAGGGAACUACAACCUUCAGUUUUUUAUGCCUCGUUCACACGUACAUUUAAUUCGAAUUGAAUUCGAAUCGAAUGUGAAUCGAAUUCGCUAAUCGCGUUCACACAAUCUUCUAUUUUACUUCAAAUUGAUUCGAAUUGGCUAAUUCGAAUUAUCCGAUUCGCAUUAGAAAUACGCUUUUGCUAAUACGAAUUAAAAGUUGUUAAAGUCGUUUGCACAGUAAAGCGAAUUUGACGCGCAUUGCAAUUCGAAUUAGAAUUGAC
rnacentral:lncRNA from 1 species